GGUGCGACGGUGCCGUCGGCUGGGGAAUGACGGAAGUGGCUGGCGUGGUUGUGAGUGACUGGGGGAAAGCGGCGGUGCGGCGGCAAUGCAAGGGGGGCGUGAAAGGCCUGGGCUCAACCUGGGAACGGCGCUUCAGACUGGACGGCUUGAGUCCGGGAGAGGGUGGUGGAAUUCCCAGUGUAGAGGUGAAAUUCGUAGAUAUUGGGAGGAACACCAGUGGCGAAGGCGGCCACCUGGCCCGGUACUGACGCUCAAGUGCGAAAGCGUGGGGGGCAAACAGGAUUAGAUACCCUGGUAGUC
rnacentral:rRNA from 1 species